rnacentral:misc_RNA from 1 species
UAACAAUAUCACUUGGAAUAAUUUCAUUUUUAACGACGCAUGUCUGAUAAAAUUUCGGCAAUUCAACUAAAGUCCACAUUUAAUCUUUUGCAUACCUAAAGCGUGUACCUACCAAAACUAUUUUAUAAACAAUUACAACUCAUCAAAGAUCCCUGCUGUACAUAGAUCCAAUUUGUUCAUUGAACCAACCAGAGUAACUGAACAGAACUCGGUCCACCACAUUUGAGCAGGCUUCAGU